UCUACAUAAGCACUUGUAUCGUGUAGUUACCUCAUGCAAUAACACAAAAAUUGACACUUUAUUUGUUUGUCAGCUGUUGUUGUUUCUUCUUCUUCCCCUCAAACUAGUGUUGUUAACAUCGAUUGGUUGAAUACGAAUUCUUUCUUAUUAAGCUGUGAACAAUUAUUAUCAACUAGUAUUGAAUAGUAAUUCAAUACUAGUUGUAAGAAUUCACAAACUCUCAACUAAUUUUGGACCUCUUUCUGUUUCUUUCCGUGGAACGGUUUCAAUAUGCUAUAAAGUGCAUAGGCCUGUCAAAAGACGUGCAGAACACAUAGAAAUCCGUCUAGGUUGGAGGUUCCCAAGAAGAGGAGAAUGAUUAAUAUUGAGGAGGGGAACAGUGAUGUGUUCUUGACCUAAAACUCUCUUAAAACGAAAGUCCUUCAGAUAACUUCUUUCCCACUCGCAUUGGCACUGACAGAGGGAUAUGACCGAGGCACGGGCUUAUUAAUCUACCUAUUUCAAAAAAUGGACUUUGUUAAGGAAUUCACAAGAAACACAAAGUGUUACUUAAAGUACAUAUAUACACAUAUGGCGCCACUCGUAAAUAAAAGCUAGCCACAUUUAUGGAGCAUCUGUUGACGGUUAUUCACCAAAGUUUCAGCCAUCUACGACGAACAGCUGUUAUGUGAUGAGUUAUUUUGUGGAAAUAUUCGAACAAUAGCACCAUUUAAAGACUUGUUGUGCAAAAAUUUGAGGCGUCUAACUCAAGUUUCAAGGUUUCCAGGAACGAGUUUUUAGGAAAUUAUGUUGAAAAAAAUGUCUUGUAUCUUUGUAAGGUCGGAAAAUUUUUCAGACAACUCUCUUAGUCUCAAAUAUCAAAUCUUAAAAAAACAGAAGAUCUCUAUCAGACGGAAGUUAUUAGGAGAGUACUCUUCUCUGGUGGUCACACUUUAUACUAAAUAACAGAAAAUGACGUAUAUGACACAACCUCUCCAUGGAUGUAUUUGUAUGUAGAUUGAAUCAAGGUUAAUAAAAAUACAAGAUUUUACCAUAGUUUAAUCGGGAUUGCUAGAAUUUUCAAUCUGAUGUAUUGUACCAACUGCUGGAAAAGACAGGCAGAUUUUG
rnacentral:lncRNA from 1 species